rnacentral:lncRNA from 1 species
AAGGCAAGAGAUAAGAAAUAUCUCUCUCAAUAAAGUAGGAGACAAUAAACGUAUCUCGCCCAAUAAGUCAAAAAUAAUCAUCCGAUUCUCCUUUUUUCUCAUGGCUCUUCAGCUUCAUCUAUAAAUAAAAACCCACAGGAGACCCUCAAGGUAUGAAAAAUCUCUCUCCUAUUACGCUCACUCCUUUCCAUCUAUUCUUCAAAGAUCUAACUUAAAUGUCGAAGGGUCCCCACUAGAGCCAACACC